UACAUGGGGUGCAAACGUUGCUCGGAAUCAUUGGGCGUAAAGCGCGCGUAGGCGGUUACUUAUGUCGGAUGUGAAAGCCCUCGGCUUAACUGAGGAAGUGCAUUCGAAACUGGGUAGCUAGAGUACUAAAGAGGGUCGCGGAAUUCCCGGUGUAGAGGUGAAAUUCGUAGAUAUCGGGAGGAACACCGGUGGCGAAGGCGGCGACCUGGGUCGAGACUGACGCUGAGGCGCGAAAGCGUGGGGAGCAAACAGG
rnacentral:rRNA from 1 species